ensembl:lncRNA
AUAUACUAUUAUAAAAUUACAGUAUAGUAACAUCACCUUGUUGUCACUGUAAAUGAUUCAAACUUUCCAAUGUGUCACAUGAGAGUGUGAAAAUUUUUGGAGAGCCAUUUGAUUUUGAAGUUUUCUUGGGUGUAAAACUGAACAUGCAAAUUAGCAUUGUCAUUAUAGCUGUCAAGUUAAUCUUAAUGUUAAUUUAAUGUGGUUAAUUUUAGAAGAAAAAAGAAAAAACAAUUAAUGCACUUAAUUAUGCCCCCAACCCAUGUGUAAAUACCAUAAUGAAUGAUUUUCAAGCUUGGAGUACCACCUUCAUGUUUUUGUGCUGUUGCUACAGGCAAAGUACAGCAAUACCCAUUGACCAUUACACGAUAUUACCAAAAAUAUCAACAUAUAGCAGCUUCUUUCUGUAAUAUGGAAAUAUAUGUGUGUGUGUGUGUGUGUGUGUAUAUAUAUAUAUACACAUAUCUUUUCAUGCUGCUGAAAAAUGUAGUUUAGUUAGCAGUGCUUCAAGUUACUCCUCAAGGCAAGAAGUAAUUUGUUCAGAACUCAGUUAUGUAAUUUUCGACACAUGUACAGAAGUCCUAUAUGUGCAACAAAGUAUGAAAUGAGCAUGUGCUACAAGACAAAUGACUGCCAAUGCCAAAUAUAUCUUAUGAAAGAGCCCACACCAACCAUCGCAUCACUUCAGAAUGGGAAUUGAUGUCAUCCCUCAACCGUUCACUGGCUUGGCUGGCUGCAAUAAAACAGUCUCGCAUUGAAAACACAUUAGCUCAUGAUUUACCAUUUAGGGAAAAUGACAGUCUAGUCUUUAUUUGACUGGCCCUAAAUAGACAAAUGACUGUGGCCGUGAUGGCUAGAGAAAGCGAGCGAGAUAUAUGAAAGAACAAAAGGCAGUCUUGCUCCUCUCUUACACACUUUCAUAAGGACUGAUGGGAUGGAAAGCGAGUGCGGAGGGCUGCCGGCUCGAAUGGGUCCUCCAGGGCACAGUGGUCAGCUGCACUCCACUGACUAGCGUUCUGACAUGGACACAGCCCGGGCCCAUAUCGAUCCCCAUGAAAUCUGAACCAUCAUCUGUGACUGCUGGCUGCUCUGGGGGAGAGAGGCUGAUUAACAUGGAUGGACUGAUGUCACCGGGCUUUCCAUGUUGGCCUACAUGCAGGCUGAGGCAGACCAAGGCAAAUUACUGGAGACUUGAGCAGACGGCCUAAAAUAAACAUCGCCUGAAGUGAUGGAUAGUGUGUGACUGUGCAUAUCAGGACUGGCCAGAAAUAGAUUACAAACAUUUUUAACAAAAAUCUUGAUUCGUUC